GUGUGUUUGGUCGUACCUGCAGCUUCUCUCUUGAGAUUAUUUGGUUGCCCUGGGAUUUUUUGGAUUUCUGGAUUAUCUGUUGGAGCUUUUACAUCCUCUCUAUGUAUUCGAUUUGCGAGCAGCCCCCAUCUGGCAACGAGUCGUGCGGUGUCACUAAAUGAACAGACGUCAAGUUGCUGACUUCCAGAGCUGCCAACCUGACACACUCUGGAGUUUGGAGCACAUGGAUGAUGAUGCAGGCUCUGGGCUCUGCAACAAAGUGAUCUGGAUUCAAAAAUGAAGCUACUCUCUCCACAAGCUCAAAAAUGUACUGUACACCAUCUGUCUGAGAACAUCCUGGCACAAACUAACGACUAUGGUUAAACAUAAGAUAAAAACGCCGCAGUUGAAAUGUAUCAACACUUAGAGGCCACGGGGACGUUUUCCACUCCGCGUGUCUUUGUCUUUCCCAUCCUUGUGCAGCACGUCCGCUCAUGCACAGAAACCCGGCCUGUGCUUUGAAUGUAAAUACCUGCAGACCCUAUCUCAAGGCUUGCCCCAUGGACAGACCUCUAGCAGAACAAGGGAACCGGACUGCAUUAUUCACCGCCGCAGGUGAAACUGUACCCCCAUGAGAGACGCAAAACCCAACAGAGAACACUCACCCUUGACCUGGCCUUCUGUUCAUGCUGUUUCCACAUCUUUCAGCCUCUAUAAACCCCUGCAUCACUGUCGAGGUGCAUACUGAACAAGCAGUCACAUCCCCGUGGAUUCCUCUGGGCUGCUCAGAUUAGCAAUGAGAACAGUUUGCUUAGAAACAUGUUGAUGGAUCUGCGCGGAAUGAAGACCUGAUAAAGCCGAUCCUGAAAUGUGUCGAGUGCCCUUGACGUGCAGGAGCUUUUUCCUCGUGAAGGACUAAACCCGAGAUAAAACGCGUAGAUAGUCUGCCAGCAAAACAACUUCUCCUGUUACACUCCUGCCAGAGACUUAAAGGCAUUUAUUUUCUUUGCAGCAACACAAGAAAAAAUAAAGGAAACAGUUGGUGGUGAAUAUUAA